rnacentral:tRNA from 1 species
GCGCUCAUAGCUCAGCUGGAUAGAGCACUUGGCUACGAACUAAGGGUCGGGAGUUCGAAUCUCUCUGAGCGCACCA